GAAGGGUGGAAGGGGGGAGAAGGCCGAGAUGCACAUUUUCGGGGACAACAACAUAAUAAGGGAGUGAUAGAAGCAGAGAGAAAGAGAAACUCGUUAAGACUGCGAAAGAAUGGUGGUCUUUGGUUUGUUCUUCACGUAGCAGAGACCCAUGCCCAGCUCCCUUGAAGCACCCUGGGGAAGAACUUGGAGAGGAAAGACUGUGUGGUGCCCCUAGACAGACUGGACUUUAGACUCUGGGCCUUUCAGCGCUGGCAGAGUGUUCUGUGCAAGCUUGGCAGGAAUCAGCAGAGCUGCCUGAACUUAAGGGAGUGCGAGAGCUCGGACACUGAGCCCACGGAUGGUGACUGGUGUGGACUGAAGACAGGAGGGCUUCAUCCAACUGACGUGACCUAGGGAGAAAACUGAACAAUCAAAAGACUUUCCUCAGAGUCCCAUAGUCAACCAAUGCCUAAAACGGUGCCUGAAAUGCUGUAGCCAACUCCCUGCAUGUAUGCUGAGUGACAACAGGCUUUCUGCAGCCUCCCAGGGUUCUCCCGGAGCCUGUCUUCCGUGCCACGUAGCUCACAGGAGGGACCAAACCCCGGGCCCCAGCAGUGGAAGCGCUGAGUCCUAACUACUGGACUGCCAGGGAAUUCCCCUAACCACAUUCUCUAACACAGCACCUUUCUCACCUCUCAGUUAAGCCUUUUCUAUCCUUUCCAAUUCCUCAACCAUUUCUUUUCCUCUUAACACCUAGACAUUAUUUAGGACCUGUAGUGACCUCAGUAAAAUAAAUGAGAAUGGGAAUUUUGUUUUAUGCCGUGUUGCGGCUUC